GAAUUCGAUUCGGGUGUGACAAGGCCCGGGAACGUAUUCACCGCUGCUUGCUGAUCAGCGAUUACUAGCGAUUCCAGCUUCAUGCAGUCGAGUUGCAGACUGCAAUCCGAACUGAGAACGGUUUUUUGAGAUUGGCUCCCCCUCGCGGGUUUGCGACUCAUUGUGCCGUCCAUUGUAGUACGUGUGUAGCCCUGGACAUAAAGGCCAUGAGGACUUGACGUCAUCCCCACCUUCCUCCGGUUUUUCACCGGCAGUCCCUUUAGAGUGCUCAGCAUAAUCUGGUGGCAACUAAAGGCAGGGGUUGCGCUCGUUGCGGGACUUAACCCAACAUCUCACGACACGAGCUGACGUCAGCCAUGCAGCACCUCGACUAAUGUCCCUUGCGGGAAAAGCGACUUUCGCCACCUGUCACUAGCCGUUCGAGCCCAGGUAAGGUUCUUCGCGUUAAUCACUA
rnacentral:rRNA from 1 species